rnacentral:rRNA from 1 species
UACGUAGGGUGCGAGCGUUGUCCGGAAUUAUUGGGCGUAAAGAGCUCGUGGGCGGUGUGUCGCGUCGGCCGUGAAAACCUGCAGCUUAACUGUGGGCUUGCGGUCGAUACGGGCAUCACUGGAGUUCGGCAGGGGAGACUGGAAUUCCUGGUGUAGCGGUGAAAUGCGCAGAUAUCAGGAGGAACACCAGCGGCGAAGGCGGCGCUCUGGGCCGGUACUGACGCUGAGGAGCGAAAGCGUGGGGAGCAAACAGG